UCAGGUAUAAAGCCAGCUGGUAGGACUACUUUAAAUGUGCAAGGAAUUGUUCCUACACAUCGUUAUUGACUGAAUUGUGUCUCUCCCAAUUUAUGUCAAAGUAUUAGACCCCAGGACCUCAGAAUGUGACCGUAUUUGAAAAGAGUCAUUGCAGAUAUAGUUAGUUCACUUCGAUGUGGUCACACUGUGGUGGACCCUCCAUAAAUAGAAUUGGCAGCCUUACCAAAGGGGAGAAAGGAUACUACGUCCUAAUCUUACAGAAGAAUUUCUCUCUCUUGUAGAUGAAAAAAGUGUAUGGUGGUCUGGACGCACAACCCAUGAUCAAACCCCCGUCACUCCACAGCAUCUAGAAAUAAGACAUAAGACUUUCUAUGGGUAGAAGUACAAAGAACAUGAGGUCCAGCUGAGCAUCGACCUCUGGGACUCUCCAACCUUGACCAUCAUCCACUAAAUUAAGAAGGACUUAGGCAGUGCCAUUGGGAUACAAGCAUCUUGUAGGAUUCCUCUACCUAUCUCAACACGCUGAGGGAGUUUGGCUGUCUCUCCUGUCCGACAUCAAAGCAGAAAUUCCAGAUCACAAGGAGACGUGCUCUGGGAGUGCUGGAGACGAGAUGGGGGAGGAGACCAUGAGAGCGAGAGGCUCCCAGGGAAGGAUCCCCCUAGUCCCAAGGGGCUGUGGAGCUGCAGACCUGAGAAGGGGACUGGAACCCUAGGUGAGAAAUAAGAAAUGUUGAGGGGGGACUUUUCUAUCCCUGACAGGGACAAGACACACAAUAGAAACUCCUGCUGGAGGGUAAGGAAGGAGCAAGCUCUCCGUGAUGUGUUUCUUGCUGGCCUGCCUCUACCCACUCCACAUGCUGGACUUCCACCUCGGCAGAGGAGAAGGUCUGUCAGUAAGUGGGGGGCCUCAAGUUUACAGGCCAUCAGUAUAAUUAGGAGAAGCUUCUUUCCUACUUCCAGUGUCCACCUGCCUUCUGACUGGGGACUAGGGUGUCUCUCCCGCAAGUUCCAUCCCACAUGUCCCAGGAUGAAGCCUACUUCUUCCACUGGAGUCCAUCUCCCCUCCACGGAGGGACCUGACAGCCCUUGCUUUUGGGGGCCUUGUGGAGACAUCAUGGAAGGUGGGUCCCAACCUUCAUGCCAGGCAGAGGGUGGCCAUGAUAAACUCAGGCAUCCUGAUGAGAACCGAAUCAAGCAGGGGCCUGUGGCUCUCUCAUAAGAGGUUCCCACCCUCGGGCUCUAAGGCUGUGACCCUCGGUCUGAGGGAAAAAUUCUUGCUUCCCACAUGCACAGCUUCUCAGGACUCAUCUAGCCUCCACCAUGCUGGGAGUCCAGAACCACAGUCUUGUUUCUCCUUAUUGAAAAUCAGCAAUAACUGCCUGGAAAGUGUUCUUUUUAAAUCCUCAAACGUAGGGGCGCCU